AUUGAACGCUGGCGGCAGGCUUAACACAUGCAAGUCGAGCGGGGUGAUGGUGCUUGCACUAUCACUUAGCGGCGGACGGGUGAGUAAUGCUUAGGAAUCUGCCUAUUAGUGGGGGACAACAUCUCGAAAGGGAUGCUAAUACCGCAUACGUCCUACGGGAGAAAGCAGGGGAUCACUUGUGACCUUGCGCUAAUAGAUGAGCCUAAGUCGGAUUAGCUAGUUGGUGGGGUAAAGGCCUACCAAGGCGACGAUCUGUAGCGGGUCUGAGAGGAUGAUCCGCCAGACUGGGACUAAGAAACGGACCAGACUCCUACGGGAGGCAGCAGUGGGGAAUAUUGGACAAUGGGGGGAACCCUGAUCCAGCCAUGCCGCGUGUGUGAAGAAGGCCUUAUGGUUGUAAAGCACUUUAAGCGAGGAGGAGGCUCUUUUGGUUAAUACCCAAGAUGAGUGGACGUUACUCGCAGAAUAAGCACCGGCUAACUCUGUGCCAGCCGCCGCCGUAAAAC
rnacentral:rRNA from 1 species